rnacentral:rRNA from 1 species
AUUGAACGCUGGCGGCAUGCUUUACACAUGCAAGUCGAGCGGGGUGAUGGUGCUUGCACUAUCACUUAGCGGCGGACGGGUGAGUAAUGCUUAGGAAUCUGCCUAUUAGUGGGGGACAACAUCUCGAAAGGGAUGCUAAUACCGCAUACGUCCUACGGGAGAAAGCAGGGGAUCACUUGUGACCUUGCGCUAAUAGAUGAGCCUAAGUCGGAUUAGCUAGUUGGUGGGGUAAAGGCCUACCAAGGCGACGAUCUGUAGCGGUUCUGAGAGGAUGGUCCGCCUGAAUGGUACUGAGACACGGCCCAGACUCCUACGGGAGGCAGCAGUGGGGAAUAUUGGACAAUGGGGGGAACCCUGAUCCAGCCAUGCCGCGUGUGUGAAGAAGGCCUUAUGGUUGUAAAGCACUUUAAGCGAGGAGGAGGCUCUUUUGGUUAAUACCCAAGAUGAGUGGACGUUACUCGCAGAAUAAGCACCGGCUAACUCUGUGCCAGCCGCCGCUGUAA